GACGAACGCUGGCGGCGUGCUUAACACAUGCAAGUCGAGCGGUAAGGCCCUUUCGGGGGUACACGAGCGGCGAACGGGUGAGUAACACGUGGGUGACCUGCCCUCAGCUCUGGGAUAAGCCUGGGAAACCGGGUCUAAUACCGGAUAUGACUCCAUGACGCAUGUUGUGGGGUGGAAAGCCUUGUGCGGCUGAGGAUGGGCCCGCGGCCUAUCAGCUUGUUGGUGGGGUGANGGCCUACCAAGGCGACGACGGGUAGCCGGCCUGAGAGGGCGACCGGCCACACUGGGACUGAGACACGGCCCAGACUCCUACGGGAGGCAGCAGUGGGGAAGUCUUGCGCAAUGGGCGAAAGCCUGACGCAGCGACGCCGCGUGAGGGAUGACGGCCU
rnacentral:rRNA from 1 species